rnacentral:rRNA from 1 species
AACGAACGCUGGCGGCAUGCCUAACACAUGCAAGUCGAACGAAGGCUUCGGCCUUAGUGGCGCACGGGUGCGUAACGCGUGGGAAUCUGCCCUUAGGUUCGGAAUAACAGCUGGAAACGGCUGCUAAUACCGGAUGAUAUCGCGAGAUCAAAGAUUUAUCGCCUGAGGAUGAGCCCGCGUUGGAUUAGGUAGUUGGUGGGGUAAAGGCCUACCAAGCCGACGAUCCAUAGCUGGUCUGAGAGGAUGAUCAGCCACACUGGGACUGAGACACGGCCCAGACUCCUACGGGAGGCAGCAGUGGGGAAUAUUGGACAAUGGGCGAAAGCCUGAUCCAGCAAUGCCGCGUGAGUGAUGAAGGCCCUAGGGUUGUAAAGCUCUUUUACCCGGGAAGAUAAUGACUGUACCGGGAGAAUAAGCCCCGGCUAACUCCGUGC